rnacentral:rRNA from 1 species
AUUGAACGCUAGCGGCAUGCUUAACACAUGCAAGUCGAACGAGUGGCGGACGGGUGAGUAAUAUAUCGUCACGUGCCCCGUAGCGGGGGAUCACUACUCGAAAGAGUGUCUAAUAACGCCUUCUAUUGGAUUCGCCUAUAUCGGAUUAGGUAGUUGGUGGGGUAAAGGCUCCCCAAGGCAACGAUCCGUAGCUGGUUUGAGAGGACGACCAGCCACAGUGGGACGGAGACACGGCCCAGACUCCUACGGUAGGAAGCAGUGGGGAAUUUUGGACAAGGGGGGAAACCCUGAUCCAGCCAUCCCGCGUGUAUGAGAAGGCCUCCGGUUUGUAAAGUACUUUUGUCGGGGAGGCGGUAUCUGCAGAAUAAGCACCGGCUAACUACGUGCCAGCAGCCGCGGUAAUUC